GAUGAACGCUAGCGGGAGGCUUAACACAUGCAAGUCGAGGGGCAGCAUAGGGUAGCAAUACUCUGAUGGCGACCGGCAAACGGGUGAGUAACGCGUAUGCAACCUACCCUGUACAGGGGGAUAACCCGGAGAAAUUCGGACUAAUAUCCCGUAAUAAUAUCCGGAGGCAUCUUUGGAUAUUUAAAGUUUCGACGGUACGGGAUGGGCAUGCGUAACAUUAGCUGGUUGGUAAGGUAACGGCUUACCAAGGCUAUGAUGUUUAGGGGUCCUGAGAGGGUGGUCCCCCACACUGGUACUGAGACACGGACCAGACUCCUACGGGAGGCAGCAGUGAGGAAUAUUGGUCAAUGGGCGCAAGCCUGAACCAGCCAUCCCGCGUGCAGGAAGACGGCCCUAUGGGUUGUAAACUGCUUUUCCAGGGAGAGAAACUUACGCACGUGUUGCGUGACUGACGGUACCCUGGGAAUAAGCAUCGGCUAACUCCGUGC
rnacentral:rRNA from 1 species